rnacentral:rRNA from 1 species
GACGAACGCUGGCGGCGUGCCUAAUACAUGCAAGUUGAGCGAUUAAGAUUGGUGCUUGCACCAAUUUGAAGAGCAGCGAACGGGUGAGUAACGCGUGGGGAAUCUGCCUUUGAGCGGGGGACAACAUUUGGAAACGAAUGCUAAUACCGCAUAACAACUUUAAACAUAAGAUUUAAGUUUGAAAGAUGCAAUUGCAUCACUCAAAGAUGAUCCCGCGUUGUAUUAGCUAGUUGGUGAGGUAAAGGCUCACCAAGGCGAUGAUACAUAGCCGACCUGAGAGGGUGAUCGGCCACACUGGGACUGGGACACGGCCCAAACCCCUACGGGAGGCAGCAGUAGGGAAUCUUCGGCAAUGGACGAAAGUCUGACCGAGCAACGCCGCGUGAGUGGAGAAGGGUAUCGGAUCGUAAAACUCUGUUGGUAGAGAAGAACGUUGGUGAGAGUGGAAAGCUCAUCAAGUGACGGUAACUACCCAGAAAGGGACGGCUAACUACGUG